UACAGAGGGUGCGAGCGUUGUCCGGAAUCACUGGGCGUAAAGGGCGCGUAGGUGGCGGGCCAAGUCCAUGGUGAAAGCUCGAUGCUCAACAUCGAGUCGGCCACGGAUACUGGUUCGCUGGAGCACUGUAGAGGCAGAUGGAAUUCCGGGUGUAGCGGUGGAAUGCGUAGAGAUCCGGAAGAACACCGGUGGCGAAGGCGGUCUGCUGGGCGAGUGCUGGACACUGAGGCGCGACAGCGUG
rnacentral:rRNA from 1 species